CCCUUCUGACGAGUCGAGUUGUUUGGGAAUGCAGCUCCAAGCGGGUGGUAAAUUCCAUCUAAGGCUAAAUACUGGCGAGAGACCGAUAGCGAACAAGUACUGUGAAGGAAAGAUGAAAAGCACUUUGAAAAGAGAGUGAAACAGCACGUGAAAUUGUUGAAAGGGAAGGGUAUUGCGCCCGACAUGGGGAUUGCGCACCGCUGCCUCUCGUGGGCGGCGCUCUGGGCUUUCCCUGGGCCAGCAUCGGUUCUUGCUGCAGGAGAAGGGGUUCUGGAACGUGGCUCUUCGGAGUGUUAUAGCCAGGGCCAGAUGCUGCGUGCGGGGACCGAGGACUGCGGCCGUGUAGGUCACGGAUGCUGGCAGAACGGCGCAACACCGC
rnacentral:rRNA from 1 species